rnacentral:rRNA from 1 species
UAGAGGACAGUGGCGGACUGGUGAGUAACGCGUGAGGAACCUGCCUUUCAGAGGGGGACAACAGUUGGAAACGACUGCUAAUACCGCAUGACGCAUUUUGAUCGCAUGGUCGAAAUGCCAAAGAUUUAUCGCUGAAAGAUGGCCUCGCGUCUGAUUAGAUAGUUGGCGGGGUAACGGCCCACCAAGUCGACGAUCAGUAGCCGGACUGAGAGGUUGACCGGCCACAUUGGGACUGAGAUACGGCCCAGACUCCUACGGGAGGCAGCAGUGGGGAAUAUUGGGCAAUGGGCGCAAGCCUGACCCAGCAACGCCGCGUGAAGGAAGAAGGCUUUCGGGUUGUAAACUUCUUUUAAGUGGGAAGAGCAGAAGACGGUACCACUUGAACAAGCCACGGCUAACUACGUGCCAGCAGCCGCGGUAAUACGUGGGUGGCAAGCGUUGUCCGGAUUUACUGGGUGUAAAGGGCGUGCAGCCGGGCAUGCAAGUCAGAUGUGAAAUCUCAGGGCUUAACCCUGAAACUGUAUUUGAAACUGUAUGUCUUGAGUGCCGGAGAGGUAAUCGGAAUUCCUUGUGUAGCGGUGAAAUGCGUAGAUAUAAGGAAGAACACCAGUGGCGAAGGCGGAUUACUGGACGGUAAC